rnacentral:rRNA from 1 species
UACCAAGGUGAUGAUACGUAGCCGAACUGAGAGGUUGAUCGGCCACAUUGGGACUGAGACACGGCCCAAACUCCUACGGGAGGCAGCAGUAGGGAAUCUUCCACAAUGGACGAAAGUCUGAUGGAGCAACGCCGCGUGAAUGAAGAAGGCCUUCGGGUCGUAAAAUUCUGUUGUCAGAGAAGAACGUGCGUGAGAGUAACUGUUCACGUAUUGACGGUAUCUGACCAGAAAGCCACGGCUAACUACGUGCCGGCAGCCGCGGUAAUACGUAGGUGGCGAGCGUUGUCCGGAUUUAUUGGGCGUAAAGGGAACGCAGGCGGUCUUUUAAGUCUGAUGUGAAAGCCUUCGGCUUAACCGAAGUAGUGCAUUGGAAACUGGAAGACUUGAGUGCAGAAGAGGAGAGUGGAACUCCAUGUGUAGCGGUGAAAUGCGUAGAUAUAUGGAAGAACACCAGUGGCGAAAGCGGCUCUCUGGUCUGUAACUGACGCUGAGGUUCGAAAGCGUGGGUAGCAAACAGGAUUAGAUACCCUGGUAGUCCACGCCGUAAACGAUGAGUGCUAAGUGUUGGAGGGUUUCCGCCCUUCAGUGCUGCAGCUAACGCAUUAAGCACUCCGCCUGGGGAGUACGGUCGCAAGACUGAAACUCAAAGGAAUUGACGGGGGCCCGCACAAGCGGUGGAGCAUGUGGUUUAAUUCGAAGCAACGCGAAGAACCUUACCAGGUCUUGACAUCUUCUGACAAUUCCAGAGAUGGAACGUUCCCUUCGGGGACAGAAUGACAGGUGGUGCAUGGUUGUCGUCAGCUCGUGUCGUGGGAUGUUGGGUUAAGUCCCGCAACGAGCGCAACCCUUAUUGUCAGUUGCCAUCAUUAAGUUGGGCACUCUGGCGAGACUGCCGGUGACAAACCGGAGGAAGGUGGGGAUGACGUCAAAUCAUCAUGCCCCUUAUGACCUGGGCUACACACGUGCUACAAUGGACGGUACAACGAGUCGCUAACUCGCGAGGGCAAGCUAAUCUCUUAAAGCCGUUCUCAGUUCGGAUUGCAGGCUGCAACUCGCCUGCAUGAAGUCGGAAUCGCUAGUAAUCGCGAAUCAGCAUGUCGCGGUGAAUACGUUCCCGGGCCUUGUACACACCGCCCGUCACACCAUGAGAGUUUGUAACACCCAAAGUCGGUGGGGUAACCUUUUGGAGCCAGCCGCCUAAGGUGGGACAGAUGAUUGGGGUGAAGUCGUAACAAGGUA